AUGGUGUUCGUGCAGUACUUUCUGCUUCCUGGAAAAGAGCUUAUCAAUGGCUUGGUGUUCCUUAAUGAUGACAGUUGGUGUGUGAAGAUGGCUAAGUACAUUUGUGUUGGAGGAGUUGCUAAUGUGUAUGUGGAGUAUCAUGGAGAGGAAGAUAGCAAUGACAACAGCAGUGGGAGUGAUUUUGAGGAUGAAAUCAUGGAACAGAGUGAUGAUGAUGAACUAGAUGCAGUUAUAACUGCUGAAGAACCAGAUGCAGUUAUAACUGCUGAUGAACCAGAUGCAGUAACUGGUGUUGAACCUGCAGAGUCUGACACUAAUGUGCUCAUACCUGAUGAAACUGGUGUGAUCACUCAAAGAAUUUGCAGCCCCUUGAAGCAGAGAAGAAGCAAUGCCAUAGAAGUAGAUGUGGAUGAAAUGACAGGCAUGGAAGGAGUUUUUUCUCAGGUUUUGGAUCCAAGUCAACCUGCAUCAGACUGUGCUUCUGAACCUCAGGCUUCAGGGCAUGUCAAUAACCAAAUGGUGAUAGCUGCAAAUGUUGACAGUGGCAAUCAAAAUUCAGACUCAGACAGUGACACUGAAUACAUUGGACAUACUGAUGAUAGUAGGGAGGAUUCAGAAGUUGUGGAGCUCAGGAGACAUGCUAGGAAAUUUAAGAAAAGGAUGAGAGACUCCAAGAGCUGGAUAGGUAGGGAUGCUACAGGGAUAGUGCCAAUUGAAUUGAUUGCCAACAUGGAGGAGCAAAUUGAAAGAGAAGAAAUGGAUUGGAACUAUGAUUCAUCUGAUGAGGACUACAGCUAUGAUGAAGAUUCAGAUGGUCAUAUAAGGAAGAGGAAGAGUACAUUCCCAAGAUACAACCCUGAAAGUGAAGUACCACAUUUUGCUUUGACCAUGGUUUUUAGAAGAAAGAAUCAGCUGUGCAAAGCUUUGAGAAGAUAUGGACUAGUAACAAAGAGGAGCAUAAAGUUCAUGAAAUCUGAGUGUGACAGAGUAAGGGCAAAGUGUGGAUGGCCUGACUGCCCAUGGCUGAUAUAUGCAGCCAAGAGAUCAAGGACUUCAAGAUUCCAAGUCAUAACCUAUAAUGAUGAUCACCAAUGUGCACAGAACAGAUGCAACAAGUUGGUUACUGCAAAGGUGAUUGCACAGAGGUAUGAGCACUUCAUAUUGGCAAAUCCUAUGUGGAAAAUUGAGAGCAUGAAAGCAACUAUUUUGCAAGAUAUGUUUGCUGAUGUCUCCACUUCAAAGUGCAAGCAUGCAAAAAGAAUUGCCAUGGACAAAUUAUUGUGUGGAAUGAACAAUGAAUACACUAGAGUGUUUGACUACCAACUUGAGCUGCUAAGGAGCAACCCUGGAAGCACAGUUGCUGUUUGCAUGGAUCCAACCAACAUGGAGGAAAGUGUAUUCCAGAGCUUCUACGUGUGCUUUAAUGCAAUGAAGCAAGGAUUCAAGGCUGGUUGCAGAAAAGUAAUAGGCCUUGAUGGUUGUUUCUUCAAAGGUGCAGUGAAGGGUGAGCUAUUAUGUGCCAUAGGUAGAGAUGCAAAUAAUCAAAUGUAUCCACUAGCCUGGGCUGUAGUUGAGAAUGAAACUAAUAUCACAUGGAAGUGGUUUGUUGGGCUGCUCAUUAAGGACUUGGAAAUAAACAAUAAUGGAGCUGGCUGGGUUAUUAUUUCUGAUCAGCAGAAGGGCUUGAUAAAUGCAGUGAAUGAUUACCUUCCUGCUGCAGAGCAUAGGAUGUGUGCUAGGCACAUUUAUGCUAAUUGGAGGAAGAAACAUAGAGAUCAUGAGUGGCAAAAGAAAUUCUGGGCAGUUGCUAAGGCUUCCAACAGGCAAGAUUUCAACUAUUAUAAGGCCAAGCUUGCACAGGUCACUCCUGAAGGGGCUAAAGACAUCAUGAGGACUGAGCCAGUGCACUGGGCAAGGGCUUUUUUCUCAGUUGGUUCAAAUUGUGAGUCAGUUGACAACACCCUUUGUGAGUCAUUCAACCAUGCUAUAGUUGAUGCUAGGUUUUAUCCUAUUAUUUCUAUGAAUGAAAAAAUUAGGAAGAAAGUACUUGUGAGAAUUCAGGAACAAAGAGAGAAAGGUGCCAAUUUUAGAGGAAAAAUAUGCCAUGCUGUUUUUAAGAAGCUCAAGAAAAGUAUUGCUAGAACACAAUAUCUUGAAGUGCUCUGGAAUGGAGAAAAUGGAUUUGAAGUGAAGCAAGUGAAUGGAAGAGGAAGGCAGUACACUGUGGACCUGGAAAAGUGGACAUGCUCUUGUGGGUACUUCCAGCUGGCAGGGCUUCCUUGCCAUCAUGCAAUUAGUGCCAUCUACAAGUGCAACAAAAAUAUUGAAGAUUUUAUUGCUCCUUGCUACUUUGUUGAAGUGUUCAACAAAAUCUAUGAGCAUUGCUUGGAGCCAGUGGAGGGUGAAGAGAUGUGGCCAGUGUCACCCAAUCCUAGGCCAGUGCCUCCUGAAUAUGUUAGGUUGCCAGGAAAAGAGAAGAAAAAAGGAAGGCCUAAAAACAAUGAUAGAAGAAGAGAAGAAACUGAGCAACCUAAGGGAAAGAAAAUGAGCAAGCAUGGCACAAUUAUCAAAUGCUCAUUGUGUGGUAACCCUGGACACAACAAAUCAGGAUGUAAACAGAACCCAGAGAGAGGCAAGAAAAAGAAUGCACAUCUUGCUAGAACUAGCAAGAAAAAGAACCCAACUGAGCAAGCCAAAGGAAGUGCAUUUGCCUCUGCCUCUGCAUCUGCUCCACCAACAGCAACAAGUUCAGUACCAGCAGGUCCUUCUACUGGGACCAACAGGUUUAAGCCUCCAAGAAAGAGAACUGUAACUGCUGAAGCUGGAUCAUCUACUGCCCCUACAGCAUCUACUUCCACAAGGACAGGAUCUGGAGCUAAGAGGGGAAGAAGGCCUGCAUCAUCAGUGCCAAGCUUCAGAUAUUUCACUUGCAGUGGAAACUAUUAG
rnacentral:rRNA from 1 species